rnacentral:rRNA from 1 species
GACGAACGCUGGCGGCGUGCUUAACACAUGCAAGUCGAACGAUGAAGCUAGAGCUUGCUCUGGUGGAUUAGUGGCGAACGGGUGAGUAACACGUGAGUAACCUGCCCCGAACUCUGGGAUAACUGCUGGAAACGGUAGCUAAUACCGGAUAUGACCAAUGAAGGCAUCUUCUGUUGGUGGAAAGAAUUUCGGUUCGGGAUGGACUCGCGGCCUAUCAGCUUGUUGGUGAGGUAACGGCUCACCAAGGCGACGACGGGUAGCCGGCCUGAGAGGGGGAUCGGCCACACUGGGACUGAGACACGGCCCAGACUCCUAGGGGAGGCAGCAGUGGGGAAUAUUGCACAAUGGGCGCAAGCCUGAUGCAGCAACGCCGCGUGAGGGACGACGGCCUUCGGGUUGUAAACCUCUUUUAGUAGGGAAGAAGCGAAAGUGACGGUACCUGCAGAAAAAGCACCGGCUAACUACGUGCCAGCAGCCGCCGUAA